rnacentral:pre_miRNA from 1 species
AGCAUGGAAGAACCGGUUAAGCUCAGGAGGGAUAGCGCCAUAUAUAUGGAACAGUCGUUACAGUGCUUCUUUUAGUUUGGCGCUAUCCAUCCUGAGUUUCCUCGCUUCUUCUUGCU